CACACAAAACUUCUCCAGGGCCACCUAAAACCUCUUCAGGACACUCAAAACCUUCCAGGCCACCCAAAAUGUUUGAGGGCCACCCAAAAUUUCUCCAGGGCCACCCAAAACCUGUCCAUGGCACCCAAAAUCUUCCAGGAUGACUCAAAACCUUUCAAGGUCACCCAAAACUUCUCCAGGGCCAUCCAAAACCUCUUCAGGACACUCAAAACCUUUCAGGGCCACCCAAAAGCUUCCAGAGCCACCCAAAACCUCCCCAGAACCCUGAAACCUUCUAGGCCACCCAAAAUCUUUGAGGGCCACCCAAAAUUUCUCCAGAGCCACCCAAAACCUGUCCAUGGCACCCAAAAUCUUCCAGGGCCACCCAAAACCUUCCAGGAUGACUCAAAACCUUUCAGAAUCACACAAAACUUCUCCAGGGCCACCUAAAACCUCUCCAGGGCCACUCAAAACCUUUCAGGGACACCCAAAACCUCCCCAGGACCCUGAAACCUUCCAGGCCACCCAAAAUUUCUCCAGGGCCACCCAAAACCUGUCCAUGGCACCCAAAAUCUUCCAGGAUGACUCAAAACCUUUCAAGGUCACCCAAAACCUCUCCAGGGCCACCCAAAACCUCUCCAGGUCACUCAAAAUCCUUCAGGGCCACCCAAAACCUCCCCAAGACCUGGAAACUCUCUGGGCCACUCAAAACCUUUUGGGGCCACCCAAAAACUUUCAGGGCCACCCAAAACCUUUCAAGGUCACCCAAAACCUCUCCGGGACACUCAAAACCACUCAAAAUCUUUCAGGGCCACCCAAAACCUUUCAGAGUCACACAAAACCUCUCCAGGGCUACCCCAAAUCUUUCAGGGUGAUCCAAACCUCUCCAGGACACUCAAAUCUUCUCCAGACGACCUCAAACCUUUCAAUGUCACCCAAAACCUCCCCAGGACACUCAAAACCUUUCAGGGCCACUCAAAACAUCUCUAGGGCCACCCAAAAUCUCUCCAGGUCACUCAAAAUCCUU
rnacentral:lncRNA from 1 species